CCCAGUCUUUCCCUAAGGGCCAAAUCCAGGAGCCGAGCGAGAAGGGGGCUGCCGGCUACAUGGAAUGUUAUCUGUUGGGGCGUCAGCUCCACUUAACGGGGGCUGGAAGGAAACAACUGGCUGCCGGAGCACAGGAGACAAAAAUCCCCAGUAGUGUGGGAGGUGGGGAUUUCUCCCGGAGGAGGCUUCACCCUGGGUCACAUACACCUGGGUGAGGUGGCGUUUCUGGUGUGGGGGGCUGCCCAACCGAAGGUGGGCCUCAUGCCGACCCAGGCCGACUCAACGGAAAACGUUAGCUGAGGCCUCCUCUCCCUGUCCCGUGUCAGUACGUGGUCCUUCCGCCGCAUGGGUAUGUGGUCUAAAAAAGCCAGCGCUUGGAGCCCAGUUUGGGGGGACCCAAGUUUACCGGAGGUCAAAUCUGCAUGAACAUAAGCCAAAGCACAAAGCGGGCCAACUGAAGAAUCGGCUGGUACUGAUGAGGGAGCGUGGGGUGGGCUGAGGACAGAAUGCAAGCUAGCAUCCCCCCCCACCCCAGGUGGGGUAUGUGUGACAUUCCUCAGGUACUCCUGGCUGCCCAAGGACAAAGGAAAGGAGAGAAAACAAAUGGUUAAGUGAUAGAGAUCACAGUCAUACAGGGCAUGAGUCCCCAUCAGUUUGCAAAUAUCUUAGUAAAUUACAAGAAAAAGGCAACCUUGUCAAUAGCCUAAUGUCCAGAAACCUAUAGACUCAGUUUCCUGGAGCCCCAACAUCACCCCUCCAUAGUGAUGUGGGGAACAAGGGCAGGAAGGCAAUGGCAGGUAAAAUUAAAUUUCCUUAUGACCUGCAGGCCAUUGACAAAUACUUGAGGCACAUACAGAGUAUAACAUUUCUCCAGGAAAUCCUGCUGCCCUAAUGCCAAUGCCUUACUAGAGGGAAAAACAACCUUAGCUUGACAACAGCAAGGCCUCAGGUAUCCUAGGAAUCCUCUUUAGCACAUCAAAGUCCCUCUGGAGGCCUCCCUUUCGUCUUGACCUCCCCAACUCCAGUGUAUAUAACCAGCCACUCUUCACAACCCCAGUGCAGCUCUUCUUGCCCAUGGGUGUUGGUCCCAUGCUUUAAUACAAUCACCUUUUUGCAUCAAAGACAUCUUCAAGAAUUGUUUCUUGUACGUCGCCUCCAGAAUCCCCACCAUCAUCCCAAAACUUCAUCAUAUGGUGCCCAGCUUGGGGCUACAAGUCCUUCCAUCUGGACUCUGAGCUGGUGCAAACCCGGAGGAGCAUGGGAGCAUCUCUUCGGUCCCCAAGUGUUCUCCUUUGAGAUGCCUUUUAACCACUGGAAACAAUUUGGAUUGCAAAAUGUAGACAAGGACUGUCUCCUGUAACACUGCACGGCCUUAAACAGGGCAAAGGAACACAGGAGAUGCUGGAUGGUGACUAACUUAUCGUGGUAAUCACCUCACGACGUAUGUAAGUCACAUUAUUAUGCUGAACCCCUUAAACUUAUACAGGGCUGCGUAUCAAUUGUAUCUUAAUAAAAAGGGGGAAAUUUUUCUUCAAGAAUUCAUGCGUCGAGUUUGGAGACGGAGGAGAACAUGAUGUCUUUUUUCUGAUUUGUUUCCUGUGGUUCCUUUUCCCUUCAGAACUCCAUUGAGAGAGCACUAGGCAAACCCGGGGGGGCGGAAAUCAACUCAGCCAAAUUCACCAAACUGAAGGGUUUCUUUUCCUGAGCUUUGCUUUGCUGGCCUGACAAAGCAGAGAGGCCCGGGGCUCCCAAGCCCUAGCCAGACCUGCCUGGGAGCCCCGUGCCUGGUCUCCGGGGGCCGCUUUGUCCGACUGCCUGUCUGGCCUCCCCAGGUCCACCUGUGCUCGACCUUUCCGUCUCAAACCUACUCACACUCUCUGCAGCAAGGCUAAUAAGCCCACCCUGAGUUUUCCUUUUCUGCUUUAUUUUCUCCUUAUUCUAUUUUUUUUCUCCAAAUUAUCCUUUGAUACAAUUUAGGGUUUUCUAUGGUCACAAACAAUCCUCCCUUGAUCCAUUGACCCACAAAUCAGCCAUCACUGACUAAGCCAAUGAAAAAGUAUUUGGAAUUAAUACAUGGAAGAAUCCAGCCUGAGGUAAUAGCCAGCCCCCAUCAGUGACAAGUUCCAGACAAGAUCUUCAGCAUAGGUCACAAAAAGGAAGAUAAAAAUUUGAGGUGUUAGAAAUUUCCCAGAACUUUGACUUUUGCAUUUGGUAGUUACAGAAUUUUGAAUGUGACCGAUAUCCCUAAGGCAUAAUUCUCCCCUAACAUUUCUACCUUUGUUAGGUGGGUGGAACUUUGCUUGAAAUUUUUUUUUUAAUUUUUUUUAACGUUUAUUUAUUUUUGAGACAGAGAGAGACAGAGCAUGAAAGGGGGAGGGUCAGAGAGAGAGAGGGCGACACAGAAUCUGAAACAGGCUCCAGGCUCUGAGCCAUCAGCACAGAGCCUGACGCGGGGCUUGAACUCACGAACCACGAGAUCACGAGCUGAGCCGAAGUCGGACGCUUAACCGACUGAGCCACCCAGGCACCCCUGCUUCAAAUUGUUUUUUAUAGUCUGUUUCCUCUAACCUUCAAGGUACUCCUCGCUGUUUUAAGAAUUAAAAUCGACAGGAAAAAAAAGAAUUAAAAUUGACAGGAGACAGACUAACAGGAGAAUCAAAAUUACAUACAUGGGGAGAAGCCACCAUAAACAUGAGAGAUUUCAGACAGAUAAAAUGAGGUAUAAAUGUCCUUCUGGACUAAGGAGGAGGAGUGAGGAGUCUGGGCUUCAGAGGGAAGGAGGACAAUUCACAGGAAGAAUGGAAAGAUGUUUGGUAAACAAAUCUUUAUGGGUCAUAGAGACAAUGGGACUUAGAGAAGAAUUUUAACAAACAGAUUUUACUAACUUCCUGCCUACCACCCCUAGUUCAUAUUAUAAUGUAGUUGUCCUUGGUGACUGCUCCUUUCCUGGAGUGGGUGCUCUAUCUAAAUUCUUUUUUUUUUUUAAUUUUUUAAAAUGUUUAUUCAUUUUUGAGAGACAGAGAAAGACAGAGCAGGAGCAGGGCCAGGGCAGAGAGAGAGGGAAACACAGAAUGUGAGGCAGGCUCCAGGCUCUGAGCUGUCAGCACAGAGCCCGAUGCAGGGCUCAAACCCCACAAACUGUGAGAUCAUGACCUGAGCCGAAGUCGGAUGCUUAACCGACUGAGCCACCCAGGCGCCCCUCUGAAUUCUUUAAGCAGUUAGUGGGAAGGUCUUCCCCCCACCCCAGCCCUAAAUCCCAAAUAUUCUCUUCUAUGUUUUUUUCUAAAGUUUUUAAAUUUUA